AUCCGUCAGAUUCUUUCAAGCGAAAGGCGUUUUGCCUAACAUUGCUAUUUGUGAAAAUAAUCAUGAAAUGAAAUUAUAUUUCGGAGACGAAAUUCAAUGGCGUUGCAACCUUUCAACUUGCCGCAGUAAAAGAAAUAUACGGAAAGGCACAUGGUUUGAAUCAUAGAGAUUGAGUUGCUUGAAGUGUUUAAGAUUCAUUUAUGGUUGGAGUGAAGAAUUUACUUCAGUUAAAUGGUGUGAAAAGCAGUUGGAAAUCAGUCACGGUACAGUUGUGGAUUGGAAUAACUACAUGCGAGAGGCUUUUACUUGAAUAAUUAUUUUGAAAUAGUAGAAGCUGGCAAAACCAAAAAGAUUGCAAAAACUGUAUUAAAUUUUAGGCAUUCAAAACCAUUUUUUGUUUCAUUUGAAACACCGUCAUGAAACCGCAUCGGAGGCUGUUCCCAACUUGGGCAAUAGUUCUACUAGUUCUUGGAUCAUCAUCGUUUUUGGGUCUAGCAAUCUUUCUGUAUUGCUGCUGGAAAAGUAGACGUAUGCAGACUUGCUUUUCACCUACAGCUGUAUGAAUGUGCACAGGAGUUUGCACUGUUUUGCAUAUCAUUUUUAAACUUUAGAUAAAAAGUUUGUAACAAGAAAUGAGCUGUGCAUAAUAUACAAAUGUUUAAUAUGACAUUAUGCAUUCGUAUAUUUUGGAGUAAUGCCAAAUAUACAUAUAUACUGUAUUUGAUGUAAAUUAUAUAUUUCAUUAAUUCAUAGUCUGAGUGAUAAAAUGUUUAGCAAACAUUGUCUACAUGCUGAUCAUCUAGGUUUUGAAUUAAUAUUAAAUACAGAUAUUUGAACUUGUAACAUCAUAACAGAUAGGAAGCAAAUAAAAGCAUUGACCUUUUUAGGUUUUCCACAAAAACUGAUGUUAGGGAAAUAAAAGUGCAAGAUCCCUGGGUUUCAUGACCUGAAUAGGCUCAUAUCCUAGCAAAUCAGCUGGUUGCAUGGGCAUUUUCAUGGUUUUCCCCACGUGUAUAUACAAAACAAUUCUCCUUAGAAAAGUCUGUCAUAAAGGCUUCACAUGCUUCACUUAGGCAAAUAGCCUUCACAUGCUUUGCUGUAAUCAAACAAACCAUCCAUAACCUUAAGUGCUUUCAAUCAAAAUGGAGUUUAGGCAAAAAAAUCCUUGUGUGUAUAAUCACAAUUUAUUAAUAAUCUAUUUUAUUAAUUCAUUAAGCCCUUUCAGUCAAAAUUAAGAUGGAGUUUAGGCA